CCAGACUCCUACGGGAGGCAGCAGUGAGGAAUAUUGGUCAAUGGGCUUACGCCUGAACCAGCCAAGUCGCGUGAGGGAAGACGGCCCUACGGGUUGUAAACCUCUUUUGUCGGGGAGCAAAGCGAACCACGUGUGGUUCAUUGAGAGUACCCGAAGAAAAAGCAUCGGCUAACUCCGUGCCAGCAGCCGCGGUAAUACGGAGGAUGCGAGCGUUAUCCGGAUUUAUUGGGUUUAAAGGGUGCGCAGGCGGAAUGUCAAGUCAGCGGUAAAAUUUCGGGGCUCAACCCCGUCGUGCCGUUGAAACUGGCGUCCUUGAGUGAGCGAGAAGUAUGCGGAAUGCGUGGUGUAGCGGUGAAAUGCAUAGAUAUCACGCAGAACUCCGAUUGCGAAGGCAGCAUACCGGCGCUCAACUGACGCUCAUGCACGAAAGCGUGGGUAUCGAACAGGAUUAGAUACCCCAGUAC
rnacentral:rRNA from 1 species